UACGAAGGGGGCUAGCGUUGCUCGGAAUCACUGGGCGUAAAGCGCACGUAGGCGGCUUUCUAAGUCAGGGGUGAAAUCCUGGAGCUCAACUCCAGAACUGCCUUUGAUACUGGAGAGCUCGAGUCCGGAAGAGGUGAGUGGAACUCCGAGUGUAGAGGUGAAAUUCGUAGAUAUUCGGAAGAACACCAGUGGCGAAGGCGGCUCACUGGUCCGGUACUGACGCUGAUGUGCGAAAGCGUGG
rnacentral:rRNA from 1 species